ensembl:snoRNA
GAUCUCUGACUUUAUGCAUAUAUUCUGACUUUAAAGUUGAUGUUUUGCCGCUUUAGCUCUAGAAUUACUCUGAGAUCUG